rnacentral:lncRNA from 1 species
AACGGUGGGCGUUGCAGGCUCGUGAACAAGAACAGGAAGCGUGCUCGCUUCGGCAGCGCAUGGACUAACAUUGGAACGGUACAGGGAAGAUCAGCAGGGCCCCUGUGCCAGGACGGCACGCGAAUUCCUGAAGUGUUCCAAAUAAAUAAAUGAGUAAGAACAGGAAGUGGUACUGGGCGUUUCAGGAAUAAUAACGAGCAGCGGGGAACCAGGGCUCUGCGGGGCUCAUGGCGAGUUAUGGAAGCUGUUACGAAUCUGCCUUAUGGUGAGGAAGACAGAGAUCGAGGUGUUGGCAGUGAAAUGGAAAGUAAGGGGUGAUUAAGGGAAAAUAUUUGAAAUUGAAGAAUUGACAGGGAUCCAUGGUUUGUUAGACAUUGAAAAUAAUAACAAAUGUGGUAGGCUGCUUCUCAGUGAGCUCCCACUAUCCCCUUUCUCCUGGGAGCCACACUGCAGUGGAAGCUCUUCCCCCAGUGUGGGCUAGACCUAGUGACUCAUUUCUAAUGAACAGAAUAUGGCAGAGUAAGGGGUCACUCUUACAAAAGAAUGUGGCUUCCAUCUUGGGUGUGAGUGGCCUCCGGGGAGACCCGCAUAACAAUGAAAUGAUGUCCCUGGACCAGCCAGAGAGGACCAGAGGACUGUCAGCAGUCCCAUGAGCGAGCCUGGAUGUGAAUGCGUCCCCUGAUCCCCGACGUUCAGCUGUGAGAUGGCCGCAGCACUGGCCACAGCCUUGACUGCAGCCUUGUAGAGAACCUGGGCCAGAGGAUGCUGCUAAGCCACGCCUGGACUCCUGAGCCACAGGGACUGUGAAUGGAUCAAAGUGUGCUGUUUGAAGCCACUAAAUCCAGGGGGCAUUAGUUACACAGCAAUGGAGAAAAAGUACAACAAGCUUACAAGACAAAAAAUAACUUUUAUCUCAAACAUAGGACACCAGUUUAUUCAGUUUACAUAUUUGGAGAUAUGGUUUUUCUGAAAAUUAACCAAAGGGGGAAUGAAUAAAGAAAAAGAAACAUCAAGGCAAGGAAAGGAAGAGAGCCCACAUCUAAUAGAGGAAAUGUCGUUGCCCUUUUAGUACAGAAGACAGAGAUCUCUCUUCCAUGGGUAAUGGCUCUCCUGUGUUAGCCAUCUACUUGCUGUCCCCAGCAUUAUGCAGCGACAUAUAACUGGACUAUGUUCAGAAAAUUAAAAUGACAUAUUCAAGGUAAAUAUCUAGGAACAUUUCAGCCCUUAGGAAGUAGAAGAAAUACCUCCUGUUACAAUCUCCAUAUUUUCUAAUAGAUAAUGCAACUCAUUCUGCUACACAUCAGCUAGUUAACUAGCAACACUUUUUCCAGUGCUGACCAGUGCAGGAGUUCUUUGAAAGAAUUACUUGUUUCAAAGAGGUCGAAGUGCAGAGUACAAUGGUGAUUGCCAGGAGUUGGAGGCAUGGGGCAUGGGGAGAGGUUGGUCAAAGGGAGGAUAGUCUCAGUCAGAUAAGAUGAGUGUGUUCUGAAGAUCUAUGUAUGAGACGGUGCUGUCAAUAAUAAUGUAUUAUUGUAUACUUGAAAUUGUUAAGAGACAAAUGUUCUCACCACAAGAAAAACCAAUAACUAUGUAGGUGAUGGAUGUUAAUUACUUUGACUGUGGUAACCGUUUCACAGUGCGUGCAUAUAUCAAAACUUCCCAUUGUGCGCUGUAAAUAUACACAAUCUUUAUAUCUCGAUAAAGCUAGGAUGGGAGAAGGAAACACUUAUAAAUCACAGCACACUUGAAGGAAAGAGGAACAGACACCUAUUUCAACAUGUAAGAUCACAACAGAAAGAAGAAUGUGAGUUCCAUGAAGGCAGGCAUUUGCCUUGUUCUCGUCAUAGUCCCAGGCCCUGGCGCGUGUUAGAUGGUCCCUAGUGAUGAGUAAAUGAACAAGUGCAGCAGCUAUGGUUCAAGAAGGCCAUGGUGACCAGAGGCUCAGACCCUUCAGGGAGGAGGCUCAGGGUCACCUUAUCAGCCUGGACUUUAACCACGUGGAAAGCAAGAUUAGAGGCCCCCUGAAUAGUACUGUUCACGAAGACUAAAAGGAACUGAGUGUGCCUGAGCUUAAGCAUCACGAAGACCAGUAAUAAAGAACUAUUUACAAACUUGGUUUGUAUUUUUUAAAAUUGCACGUGCAUACAUGUUACCUGUAUGAUAAGAGAAAGCUGAGCUACCGCAGGUGUGUAGGGAAUAUUCUCUGGCAGUACAAGGGAAAGGGAAGGGCUUUACUUCGAGGCAUCAAAGCACACAGUCCAUGUUUUAGAUUCUUAAAUGUAAAGAGACUAUACCUUAGAAAAGUGUCUUUUCAGAUUACUAGAGGCAGUGUGCACCAUGAGUGUGGAAACAAAAGCCGGAUUCAGAUCCCAGCCACGCCACUUGCUAACGUGACCUCAGGUAAGUCACAGCUUCCCACAGCCUCAGUCUCUUAAUAUGCAAUAAAUCAAGCUGCUUAGGGCCGUGGUGAGGAUUUGAGGGCGUGUGGCCCAUCUUCCUUUGCAGGAUUAUUCACUCAUGUCUUAUUUCUGUUCCCCUGUGAUGGAAACCACACGUCUUGCUUCACGGAAGGUUCCUCCCUGGCACACAGUCCUGGCUAGGGAGGAUCCUCCCUGAUCCCUGCAAUGGAACAGGGGUCUCUCCAUAGCC